UACGUAGGUGACUAGCGUUGUCCGGAUUUACUGGGCGUAAAGAGCGCGCAGGCGGUCUGUUAAGACCGAUGUGAAAUCCCCGGGCUUAACCUGGGAACUGCAUUGGUGACUGGCAGGCUUUGAGUGUGGCAGAGGGAGGUAGAAUUCCACGUGUAGCAGUGAAAUGCGUAGAGAUGUGGAGGAAUACCGAUGGCGAAGGCAGCCUCCUGGGCCAACACUGACGCUCAUGCACGAAAGCGUGGGGAGCAAACAGG
rnacentral:rRNA from 1 species